GACGAACGCUGGCGGCGUGCCUAAUACAUGCAAGUCGAACGCAGUGGGGACGGGUGAGUAACACGUGGGUAACCUCCCAUCAGAGGGGAUACCCCUUGGAAACAGGUGCUAAACCGAUAUUGAUGGCUGGACCCGCGGUUCAUUAGCUAGUUGGUGAGGUAACGGCUAACCAAGGCCACGAUGCAUAGCCGACCUGAGAGGGUGAUCAGCCACACUGGGACUGAGACAAGGUCCAGACGCCUACGGGAGGCAGCAGUAGGGAAUAUUCGGCAAUGGACGAAAGUCUGACCGAGUAACGCCGCGUGAGUGAAGAAGGUUUUCGGAUCGUAAACCUCUGGUGUUAGAGAAGCGUUAUCUAACCAGAAAGCCACGGCUAACUACGUGCCAGCAGCCGCGGUAAUUC
rnacentral:rRNA from 1 species